ACACUAAAAUCUAAAGUUGGCUAUAGGCAACCACGUCAGGAACAUGAUUAGCUACAUUGAUCACUUCUCCUAUGGUGGAGGAUCCGAGUUUCAUCCCAUGUGCUGCCUAGUCAUGCUAAGGAGUGUUCGUUUGUUAGCCACGGGAAGCGACCCUUUGAUACAUGAGCCAAGGCAGGACCAGUCGAAAGAAGGAGUUGCAUAGGGACCGUUGAGUAAGCUCUGAGCCAUCUUCUGUGAAGUUGUAUUGACCUCCGACUCCACAACAAGCAGCCAAAUGGUUCUUAAAGCCUAAUUAAAGAGACAAACAAAAACAUCGUUUAAUGAAAUAAACCAUAUGAUGGUCAAUGAAAAUGUUUUAAGGGG